GAUGAACGCUAGCUACAGGCUUAACACAUGCAAGUCGAGGGGUAACGAGAGGGAAGCUUGCUUUCCUUGUCGACGACCGGCGGAUGGGUGAGUAACGCGUAUCCAACCUGCCCUUCAAUAAGGGAUAGCCUUUCGAAAGAAAGAAUAAUACCUUAUGUGAUCGUUUGAUGACAUCAGACGACGAUCAAAGAUUUAUCGCUGAAGGAUGGGGAUGCGUCCGAUUAGGCAGUAGGCGGGGUAACGGCCCACCUAACCUACGAUGGGUAGGGGUUCUGAGAGGAAGGUCCCCCACAUUGGAACUGAGACACGGUCCAAACUCCUACGGGAGGCAGCAGUGAGGAAUAUUGGUCAAUGGCCGUAAGGCUGAACCAGCCAAGUAGCGUGCAGGAUGACGGCCCUAUGGGUUGUAAACUGCUUUUAAACGGGGAUAAAGUGAGCCACGUGUGGUUUAUUGCAGGCACCGUUUGAAUAAGGACCGGCUAAUUCCGUGCCAGCAGCCGCCGUAA
rnacentral:rRNA from 1 species